rnacentral:lncRNA from 1 species
GAAAACAAAGUUGAUCAUCAAAGACAAGUGUUACAUACUAUCAUUGCCCUAGUUAUUGUUCGUGUUUGUCUAUGUGCCCUAGUUAUUGCAAAUCUAAGUGAUUUAAUCAAACAUAUAAAAAAUAAAGAAAAUACCAUACUAUGAUUCUUUACCUAAUAGUAUCAGUGACAUAAGACUUGAAUGUGUAAUACUUUUGACAUAUCUAGAUGUGCUUUAAGAAACUGUACUCGUUUCAUCGAGACAAACUGCACCCCGAGGAGCGUCGUAACUUCUCCACCAUGAACAAGUCCAGCCAUACCCGCACACUCGAUGG